rnacentral:lncRNA from 1 species
GGACAAAUUUGCUUCAGGAUGACAUUUUCAAACAUGUUACCGAUGCACCAGUUGAUGUGAUUUCAGUGACCGAAACUAAUCCAUGAUCUUAAGCCUGGUUUUAUUAAAUGGUUAAGGAGACCAUCCAUGCUUAUGUGACUUUUAAUUUCUACCUAUGCUUAUGACAAGGAUGAUGGAAAAAUGAUUGUUUGACAACAAA